rnacentral:rRNA from 1 species
UACGUAGGUGGCAAGCGUUGUCCGGAAUUAUUGGGCGUAAAGCGCGCGCAGGCGGUCCUUUAAGGCUGAUGUGAAAGCCCACGGCUCAACCGUGGAGGGUCAUUGGAAACUGGGGGACUUGAGUGCAGAAGAGGAGAGUGGAAUUCCACGUGUAGCGGUGAAAUGCGUAGAGAUGUGGAGGAACACCAGUGGCGAAGGCGACUCUCUGGUCUGUAACUGACGCUGAGGCGCGAAAGCGUGGGGAGCAAACAGG